CUAUUACCGUGCUAGUACUGUGUAUACUGUCAAAAAGAAGAAAAAAAUAUUUCGGAAAGAAAGAAUGCCCAGUGUCGAGAUGUAACGAUUCAAGCUUUAUUUCUUUUUGACCUAGAAUGCAACACCAUUAGUUCCACGUGCUUUAUGCAUGGGUAAUGUUAUGACACAACUCAUUAUUUACCCGUUCAUUACAUGCACCAACCCGCCCAAAUUAUCACUGUACUCGAGCUUAUGGACGCAUCGCAGUGCACUGCUUUGCACUUCAUUGUAGCACAGGGGUUUGCUAUCGCCAGUAGCGAAUGCUUUGGUUGACCUCCCUGCCUUUCUGCCUUUUGAAUUCUCUCUCCCUUUGUAUAAAACGCACUAACUUGUGGGAGAGAAAGCGUUCUCCUCUUUUAGAAUUCAAUUAAUUGUCAAGCAAUUAUAUUGCAGUUCCAGUAACUAGAGCACAAAUGCGAAAACGAAACCGAUUCUGUUCGGUUCUCCGCGCUCAGAGUGCGGCACCAGGGGGCAGCGCGCGCUGCGCGUCCGUUAGGAGUGGCAGACGGAGAUGCACAUGUGUAGUCAGCCGGCAUUUUUCGAGUCGUGUUGUAAAUGUUGUUAAUUCGCCGUAAAUAUCUCUUGAUUUGUACUCAAGGGUGGAGCAAGACCCCAAGGAAGAGAGAUUGACGCAUCGGGAGCGAAGAACAGAAACGAUGGAUGGUUACGCUGCUUGGGUCUCGGCACGUUCGAAUUGGCAAAGUUCCGAAUUUGUUGCUGUGUUGUGUACGCUUGUGCGCUCGUUAUUUGCCGUCAUCGCGCGGAGAUAUUUGCGCUGGAUGUCUUUCACUUCGUGUACAAAACUCUGCUCGCUGCGGCAUCGAAGAAGUUGUCCUGUGUUUGGGUGCACGUAUGCGCUUGGACACGGAUAGCCUGCUUGCUCUCAACGGGUGUUCAACAGUCUACGCGCGCUCGUAACUUGCUCAUGAGGCAAGUUGCUGUUGUGCUGGAGCUGAGAAGAGGUCUGCUGCCUGCAAUGGGUCCAUCUCUCUCAAGUUAUUGCAGUAUUAUAGCUCUCAAGGUUCAAAAAAAGUAUGGUGGAAGCUGUUGCCAAGGUUCCGACCAGAAAAGACAGCCAGUAUAAAAGGGUCCACGCCACUGAUCUCUACUACAGGGGAUGAACAGCACAUCGAGCGCCCUCGACUGAAGCCGGCCUUGUCCCGGAAGUUGGUGCUUGACAACUUUGCGGCAGCACUUUGUUGCACGGCCUGUGGAGACAAGGUUUCUUAGACAUGGCCGUGGCCCUCAAGGAAGAUGCCGAGGCCACAGGCAGUUCCUCCAGUGACCGUGAAAAGGUCCCCUGGGGCACAAGUCUGGUUUGGCACCCCCACCUUUCUCCUGCAGCUUUUCUGUCUACUUAGCUAACCAGCAAGUUUAUCCUUGCAAGUGUUUGGAGUCAAGAACAACUUUCACCAGGAAGAAGUGCAAGACGAGUGAUUGAAGAAAAUAAAGUUGCUUCUGUGAUCUAAGAACUUGAGGACUGAAAUGUUGCACCUUUUUGUAUAUAUGCUAUGCAGUGCAUUCAUAUCACAAAGUGCAAAGUGUUUUAUCUCUGCAGCCAUGUCAGUGUGUUGGCAAGACAAUUUUCUCAAUGGUGACCUGCUGCUUUGACUAUGAGCUGCCUUCAUGACAUUUGCAUUAAAGGAGAUGUACUAUCGUGGACAAAAGUACCCUGGAAGUGCGAGCGUUGACCAAAUUGCAUUUCUGCUCAAGACCGCUGAAAACAGUGGGUCACGUAUGCACAUUCCGAACGCAGAUGGUGGCACGGCUGAUCCCAGCAAAUAGCACACCAAUGAAAUUCGGUCGACUCUCGCACGUCCUGGGCAAUUUUGUGCCCGAUGGCAC